rnacentral:rRNA from 1 species
GGCUCAGUAACACGUAGCUAACCUGCCCUCUCGUGGAGGAUACCGUCGGGAAACUGACGUUAAGACUCCAUAGAUGACGGAUACUGGAAUGUUCUGUCAUUCAAAGGUAACGCGAGAGGAUGGGGCUGCGGCCGAUUAGGUUGUUGGCGGGGUAAUGGCCCACCAAGCCGAAGAUCGGUACGGGCCUUUAGCGAGGAAGCCCGGAGAGGGAGUCUGAGACACUACUCCCAGCCCUACGGGGUGCAGCAGUCGGGAAACUUCUGCAAUGCGCGCAAGCGUGACAGAGCAAACCAACGUGUUAUUUUAUUUAAUAGAAUAUCUUUUGUGCGCUGUAAAAAGGCGUACGAAUAAGGACUGGGAGAGACUGGUGCCAGCCGCCGCGGUAAUCCCAGCAGUCCAAGUCGCAACCACAUUUGUUGGGUCUAAAACAUCCGUAGCGUGUUCUGUAAGUCGCCCGUGAAAUCCUGCCUCUUAAGGGUAGACGUGCGCGCGAUACUGCAGAACUUGGGACCGGGAGACGUAACGAGUACGCAGAGAGUAGCGGUAAAAUGUGUUGAUCCUCUGCGGACUACCACCAGCGAAGGCACGUUACGAGCACGGAUCCGACCGUGAGGGAUGAAGGCUAGGGGCGCAAAGUGGAUUAGAUACCCAUGUAGUCCUAGCAGUAAACACUGUACACU